UACGAAGGGGGCUAGCGUUGCUCGGAAUCACUGGGCGUAAAGCGCACGUAGGCGGAUUGCUAAGUCAGGGGUGAAAUCCUGGAGCUCAACUCCAGAACUGCCCUUGAUACUGGCGGUCUCGAGUCCGGAAGAGGUGAGUGGAAUUCCGAGUGUAGAGGUGAAAUUCGUAGAUAUUCGGAGGAACACCAGUGGCGAAGGCGGCUCACUGGUCCGGUACUGACGCUGAGGUGCGAAAGCGUGGGGAGCAAACAGG
rnacentral:rRNA from 1 species